UUGGAGGGCAAGUCUGGUGCCAGCAGCCGCGGUAAUUCCAGCUCCAAUAGCGUAUAUUAAAGUUGUUGCAGUUAAAAAGCUCGUAGUUGAAUUUCGGGGUCAGCAGGUUGGUCGUGCCACUGGUAUGCACUGGCUUCGCUGAUUCCUCCUUCUUGAAGAACUGUAAUGUCAUUAAUUUGGUGUUGCAGGGAAACAGGACUGUUACUUUGAAAAAAUUAGAGUGUUUAAAGCAGGCUAACGCUUGAAUACAUUAGCAUGGAAUAAUGAAAUAGGACGUUUGAUCCUAUUUUGUUGGUUUCUAGGAUUGACGUAAUGAUUAAUAGGGAUAGUUGGGGGCAUUAGUAUUCAAUUGUCAGAGGUGAAAUUCUUGGAUUUAUUGAAGACUAACUACUGCGAAAGCAUUUGCCAAGGAUGUUUUCAUUAAUCAAGAACGAAAGUUAGGGGAUCGAAGACGAUCAGAUACCGUCGUAGUCUUAACCAUAAACUAUGCCGACUAGGGAUCGGAUGAUGUUAAUUUUUUAAUGACUCAUUCGGCGCCUUACGGGAAAC
rnacentral:rRNA from 1 species